GAUGAAGAACGUAGCGAAAUGCGAUACUUGGUGUGAAUUGCAGAAUCCCGUGAACCAUCGAGUCUUUGAACGCAAGUUGCGCCCGAAGCCAUUUGGUUGAGGGCACGUCUGCCUGGGCGUCACAUAUCGUUGCCCGAUGCCUAUUGCACUGUGAUAGGAAAUUCUAGGGCGAAAGAUGGCUUCCCGUGAGCGUUGUUGCCUCGCGGUUGGUUGAAAAUUGAGUCAUUGGUAGGGUGUGCCAUGAUAGAUGGUGGUCGAGUUUGCACGAGACCGAUCAUGUGUGCGCUCCCCAAAAUAUGGACUCUUUGACCCCGCACGCGUCUUUUGACGCUCAUGACGAGACCUCAGGUCAGGCGGGGCUACCCGCUGAGUUUAAGCAUACAAUAAGCGGAGGA
rnacentral:misc_RNA from 1 species